AUUGAACGCUGGCGGCAUGCUUUACACAUGCAAGUCGAACGGUAACAGGCCGCCAGGUGCUGACGAGUGGCGAACGGGUGAGUAAUGCAUCGGAACGUGCCCAGUCGUGGGGGAUAACUACUCGAAAGAGUAGCUAAUACCGCAUACGAUCUAUGGAUGAAAGCGGGGGACCGUAAGGCCUCGCGCGAUUGGAGCGGCCGAUGUCAGAUUAGGUAGUUGGUGGGGUAAAGGCUCACCAAGCCAACGAUCUGUAGCUGGUCUGAGAGGACGACCAGCCACACUGGGACUGAGACACGGCCCAGACUGCUACGGGAGGCAGCAGUGGGGAAUUUUGGACAAUGGGCGCAAGCCUGAUCCAGCAAUGCCGCGUGCAGGAAGAAGGCCUUCGGGUUGUAAACUGCUUUUGUACGGAACGAAACGGCUCUGGUUAAUACCCGGGGCUAAUGACGGUACCGUAAGAAUAAGCACCGGCUAACUACGUG
rnacentral:rRNA from 1 species